AUAAAAUCCAAAAGUUGUCAAAAGAUUCAAACCCCCGUACAGUGUGUGUCGAUCAAGGCAUGAUCUACUACCAUGAUAACAUGUUAGUUUCUGCUGUUGAAUGUUAUGUGUGUGUGAGACGUCUGAUGCUUCUGCGUGAUUUUUUGCAGCUUGAUCUUUCAACACCUGAGAGGUUGCUGCUCGCUCUGUGUGUGAAAACAGCAUGUGUGCCCUGUUGACCUUAUCAGGAUGAGAAGGUUAAGACAAUAUUUACAGAGAUAGAGAUGGGAUAACAAUGAAUGAACUACUUUGUGUGUGUGUGUGAGUGUCUUUAUGUCUUUCUAGUGUCUUCUAGCCUACUCAGAUAAGCACACACGCACAGUGACACACUUACUCACACACUGAAACAUACAUUGAAAAAGAGGAAGUGACACAUCUGCUCCAAACGAACUGUACACUUCUUUCUUUCUCUCUUUCUUUCUUUCUUUUCUUCAGGCCUCAUACUU